rnacentral:lncRNA from 1 species
UUUAAGUUGUGUCCAUACUGCCCUUGGGUAUCUAAGGGCUAUACCUCAUUAUGCAAAAUCACUGCUUAUGCAUUCACUCCAGCACUUGUCUAACUAAUCUGCACUCAUAACACCUUCCGUCGAAGAUGCAGCAUCCCUCUUCAGAGGCUGCAGAUCAAAAACAAUAGUAGCUGGUGUCAUAGCAAGACAAAACAUAGCCUCCUGUGUAUUACUGUUGUGAUACAGGCCUAAUCCAAGACUGCUUGGAGCUGCUAAAAUAUCAUAAAAAAAUGUCCUAUCAGAAGAGAUUUUGUAUCCUAUGCAAGAUAAAAAGCAUCUAUUUUUAAUGCUGAGACUUCUGCUUUUCUUCGUCAAGAGGAUUCUGAGCAUUUUGGUCUCUCAGGCCCAUCCCUGGCAAUGUGAUGAGCAUCCUCAGCCUCCUCUGAAGCUCCCCGUGAUCUCCUAUCAGGUUUAUCUUGUGCACCAGGCACGGCCCAACUGUCUGAUGGAGCUGCCAGGCCUUCCAAACCGCUCUGGCCUGUUGUGUCAAGGUUGACUGGGGACCCUUUAACAGCACAUCACUGAUACAAUCCAUCACAUUAACAGCUUGCUGGGGGAUGCUUUAAUUCACAGAUUAUUAACACAAUAGACCAUAAUGUCUGGUCCCAUUAUGGCUGUGUCACAGAGCAUCCUCG